UUAACACAUGCAAGUCGAGCGGGGGAAGGUAGCUUGCUACUGGACCUAGCGGCGGACGGGUGAGUAAUGCUUAGGAAUCUGCCUAUUAGUGGGGGACAACAUCUCGAAAGGGAUGCUAAUACCGCAUACGUCCUACGGGAGAAAGCAGGGGAUCUUCGGACCUUGCGCUAAUAGAUGAGCCUAAGUCGGAUUAGCUAGUUGGUGGGGUAAAGGCCUACCAAGGCGACGAUCUGUAGCGGGUCUGAGAGGAUGAUCCGCCACACUGGGACUGAGACACGGCCCAGACUCCUACGGGAGGCAGCAGUGGGGAAUAUUGGACAAUGGGGGGAACCCUGAUCCAGCCAUGCCGCGUGUGUGAAGAAGGCCUUAUGGUUGUAAAGCACUUUAAGCGAGGAGGAGGCUACUCUAGUUAAUACCUAGGGAUAGUGGACGUUACUCGCAGAAUAAGCACCGGCUAACUCUGUGCCAGCAGCCGCGGUAAUACAGAGGGUGCGAGCGUUAAUCGGAUUUACUGGGCGUAAAGCGUGCGUAGGCGGCUUAUUAAGUCGGAUGUGAAAUCCCCGAGCUUAACUUGGGAAUUGCAUUCGAUACUGGUGAGCUAGAGUAUGGGAGAGGAUGGUAGAAUUCCAGGUGUAGCGGUGAAAUGCGUAGAGAUCUGGAGGAAUACCGAUGGCGAAGGCAGCCAUCUGGUCUAAUACUGACGCUGAGGUACGAAAGCAUGGGGAGCAAACAGGAUUAGAUACCCUGGUAGUCCAUGCCGUAAACGAUGUCUACUAGCCGUUGGGGCCUUUGAGGCUUUAGUGGCGCAGCUAACGCGAUAAGUAGACCGCCUGGGGAGUA
rnacentral:rRNA from 1 species